rnacentral:rRNA from 1 species
AACAGGAUUAGAUACCCUGGUAGUCCACGCCGUAAACGAUGUCGACUUGGAGGUUGUGCCCUUGAGGCGUGGCUUCCGGAGCUAACGCGUUAAGUCGACCGCCUGGGGAGUACGGCCGCAAGGUUAGAACUCAAAUGAAUUGACGGGGGCCCGCACAAGCGGUGGAGCAUGUGGUUUAAUUCGAUGCAACGCGAAGAACCUUACCUACUCUUGACAUCCAGAGAAUUUGCUAGAGAUAGCUUAGUGCCUUCGGGAACUCUGAGGCAGGUGCUGCAUGGCUGUCGUCAGCUCGUGUCGUGAAAUGUUGGGUUAAGUCCCGCAACGAGCGCAACCCUUAUCCUUUGUUGCCAGCGAGUCAUGUCGGGAACUCAAAGGAGACUGCCGGUGAUAAACCGGAGGAAGGUGGGGAUGACGUCAAGUCAUCAUGGCCCUUACGAGUAGGGCUACACACGCGCUACAGUGGCAUAUACAAAGAGAAGCGAACUCGCGAGAGCAAGCGGACCUCAUAAAGUAUGUCGUAGUCCGGAUUGGAGUCUGCAACUCGACUCCUUGAAGUCGGAAUCGCUAGUAAUCGUAGAUCAGAAUGCUACGGUGAAUACGUUCCCGGGCCUUGUACACACCGCCCGUCACACCAUGGGAGUGGGUUGCAAAAGAAGUAGGUAGCUUAACCUUCGGGAGGGCGCUUACCACUUUGUGAUUCAUGACUGGGGUGAAGUCGUAACAAGGUAACC